CUCGCUGGAGGGACGUUCCUGCCACUCACGCCAUCACCCACCCCAGCACUUCAGGAAACACAAGGGCACAACAACCCAGUGCGCGCUGUCCGGGAACUGAGCGCCACGUGAAGAAUGCGAGUAGAGCUUCAGCACUCUCGGGACCAGGCCUCGCCCAGCCGCUUCAGCCCGUGACCGUCCCGGACGAGCCGGGACCGGCCAGAGGGAGAAGGAACCAGUGAUGGGCGCGAGCCGCGUUCCUCAGCGGCGAUGCCCGCACACUCACCAGGGUCGAGCGAGCCACAGGACCCCUGCGUGCUUUGCAGUCAAGACCCAAACUAGAGGAAGGGUCUGUUUUAGUGCUCAUGGAAGGCCACGUCUAAAAUUAAACCAGGUUCAGGGGAGUUGUGCACCCAAAUAUUUCUCAGUUGCACCCCAGCCUCACAAACCUAUUCUAGGGCUGGAAAAGCUGGCUCAGCCGUUAUAAGCACUGACUGCUCUACCAGAGGACCCGGCCUCAAUUUCCAGCACCCACAUGGCAGCUCACAACUGUAGAUCCAGUUCUAGAGGAUCCAGCACCCUCACACAUACAUGCAAGCAAAACACCAAUGAACAGAAAAUGAAAAGAAAUAAAUCAUUAAGAACAA